rnacentral:rRNA from 1 species
CUGAGAGGUGGUGGCAUGGCCGUCGUCAGUUCGUACUGUGAAGACAUCCUGUUAAGUCAGGCAACGAGCGAGACCCACGUCCACAGUUGCCAGCAUACCCUCCGGGGUGAUGGGUACACUGUGGAGACCGCCGCUGCUAAAGCGGAGGAAGGAGUGGGCAACGGUAGGUCAGUAUGCCCCGAAUCUCCCGGGCUACACGCGGGCUACAAUGGUUGGUACAAUGGGCAUCUGCCCCGAAAGGGGAAGGAAAUCUCUUAAAGCCAAUCGUAGUUCGGAUUGAGGGCUGCAACUCGCCCUCAUGAAGCUGGAAUCCGUAGUAAUCGCGUUUCAACAGAACGCGGUGAAUACGUCCCUGCUCCUU